UUUAUGACUUUGUGUGGUUCAUGAAAUGUGAGGUAAUCUUGAGAUGAUUUACAUGGAACAUUAAAGGAGACUGAUUUUGAGGAGGGCUUAGGAAACUUUUAAAAGAAGGUUGGACUACAGGACAUCUCUAUGUGCAUCCUGAAGUCUGUAUACAGUUCCACUAUUGCAAAGAAGCUACAAACAUGCAGACAAAUUGCAGAUAUGAGAAAUUCCUCUUUACCACGUUAAUAUGGAAGGAUAUUUAUAUAUAUAUUGGAUAACUUCUAUGUGCUCUACUUAUAACCUUUUCUAAAACUAUGAAACAAGAAGCAAAAAAUGUUGCUUUCAUCUUUUUGCAUGAGUUUGCUUGCAACUUUUUGUAUACAUCACCAAGCUGUAAGGCUUUCCUUGUAGGAGUGGUUACCUCCUGAUUCAUUUGCAAGGUGGUUUCUACCAGCCUUUAUCCUGUCCCCCAAAUUCACUGCAACACCCCAUGCAACACUGCUUUAUUUAGGCCAGUAAAUGGCACCAUAUUCUGACCCUGUGCUGUGGUAUGCAGACUAAUCCAGGGCAACUUUGUUGUUGGUGACUGGUGUAAAGACAUAGGGAAGAUGUGUAUGGGUUAGAGCCGCUGAAUGCCUGCAAAACCUCAGAAAGUGUAUACUUAGUUUAUGAAAUGUUCCAAUAAAGACUUGCUGAAUACACAGUGCUGAGAUUUGACA